rnacentral:lncRNA from 1 species
GCAGUUCUUAAAGCAUUCACAUCGGCAUGCCAAGCUCCGGCACCAAGCCAGGUGCUGAUCCCAAAAGGUGACUUCAAGCUUGGUGAGACCGUGAUGACUGGUCCAUGCAAAUCUCCAAUCGAGUUCACCUUGCAAGGCAACGUGAAAGCUGACGGUGGCUCUACCCAGGGAAAGGAUAGAUGGGUUGUGUUCGAAAAAAUUAAUGGUUUUAAGUUGAACGGAGGUGGAACAUUUGACGGUGAAGGCAAUGCAGCUUGGAAAGCCAAUAACUGCCACAAGACUUUUGAGUGCAAGAAACUUCCCAUCGUAUGUGUUUAUGUCUUUAAUAUAUUAACACCAAUGGCUUUUUUAAAGAUGAUAUAAUUCAGUGAUGCAUGCUAUCUUUCAGAGUGUAAGGUUUGAUUUUGUGGAUAACGCUGAGAUAAAAGACAUAACCUCAUUAGAUGCCAAAAACUUCCACUUCAACGUUAUCAGCGGCAAGAACAUGACCUUUGAUAACAUCAAGAUCAUCGCUCCAGCUGAAAGCCCCAACACUGACGGUAUCCAUUUGGGAAGAUGUGAGGGAGUCAAGAUCCUCAACACUAAGAUCGCCACAGGAGAUGACUGCAUCUCCGUGGGAGAUGGGAUGAAGAAUCUCCUCAUUGAGAAAGUUGUGUGCGGUCCAGGACACGGAAUCAGUGUUGGAAGCCUUGGAAGGUACGGAUGGGAGCAAGAUGUCACUGACAUUAACGUUAAGAACUGUACCCUCGAGGGAACCGACAACGGUCUGAGGAUCAAGACAUGGCCAUCUGCCGCUUGCACCACCACCGCUGCCGGUAUUCAUUUUGAGGAUAUCAUCCUUAACAAAGUUAGCAACCCAAUCCUCAUCGACCAGGAGUACUGCCCUUGGAACCAAUGCAACAAGAACGUAAGUAUCUUUUAUUAGAUUCUAUGUCUUGCCACUAUCACCGUAUUCUAUGAAAUUGGAUGGCUCAGCAAACAUAUUAUUCUGAUGGUUUUCUAGAUAUUUAGCAUUCACCAUUUUGGUUGAGGUUACAUAUAUAUGAUUAUGAUCCCAAAGUUUUUUUUCUAUUUGCAGAAACCAUCAACAAUUAAGCUGGUGGACAUUACCUUCAGGAAUAUUAGAGGAACAUCAGGGAACAAGGACGCAGUAAAACUAUUGUGCAGCAAGGGACAUCCAUGUGAGAACGUUGAGAUUGGAGACAUUAACAUUGAGUACACAGGACCUGACGGUCCACCCACUUUCGAGUGCACAAACGUCACACCUAAGCUUGUGGGAACCCAGAACCCAAAGGCUUGCGUUGGACCUGUGGUCAAGGCUCCUGGCAAAGAGUAAAAUGUUGAAGCUCAUAUCAACACACUAGGGCUUCCACAUCCAAUUUUGUUUAUUCUUUUUCUAAUCCUUUUUCAAGUCACGUAAGGGAGACUUUUACAAAGCUGUAACAAAAAAAUGUUUCUAUCCGAUGCCAACACAUAUAUAGAUGUGUGAGUGCAUAAUGAUGUAAUUAAUAAAACUAAAUUAUAUAUUCUGCGUAUGAUUGUUUCUUUUUAAAAUAUUAAUAUGCGCGGUAAGUUGUAUACACUUCAAUCUUAAUUUUGUUUUCUUUUCCGAAUCUUAAAAUUAUUUAACAAGAUCUGAUUUCAACCUUAAGAUUAAUUUAACUAAUACAGUAUUAGUUUUUUUUUUUUGAGAACUCAUUUUAAACUAGAACUCAAAUCAUUUCAAUAAUAGUUCACUAACAUGUAGUAUUCUUUCCAAGUUAUACUGAACUAGAACUCAAAGAUACACUUGUUCAUACAUAACCGAUGCAAGCAUUUGGACAACGAAACAUGACAUCGUCAUAAGUAAUCUGAUUGGAAAUGUAAUUUUCAAUCAAACUUUCGCUCUUUGCUUAUGAUCUCUUUGGAAAAAAUUUCACUUGAUAAUAUGAGGUGCAUACUCUUCCUCUCUACUUUGGUUCAAUGCUCCUUAAACAUGUUGGAUACUUUUUUAGGCUUCAAUAUAAAAAAGAAGUUAGGAAAAAUUUAUUGAUAUUGUUAGUAAUAUUACUUCUAUGAUAUUGGUACUUCAAAAGAAGCAUGAGUUAUUAUAGAAACUAGGUUAAGAUCUCUGUUUUGCGCAUGAUGAAUUUUAUGUAUACAAAUGAUAUUUUUCUAUUUUUAUUAUUUAUUUUGUGUUUAUUUAUUUCAUAUUUAUAUAAUUAAAUUAGAGUAAACACAUAAAUCAAAACUAUACCUCCUUUUAUUUCUAAUUUUUUUCAUAAAUAAAUCAAUCGUUUUAUUUAUUUUAUAUGAAAUAUAAUUAAUUUGAAUGAUAAUGACAUAGAUAUCUAGUAAAAUUUAAUAUAACUUAUUAAUUGAGAUUUCCUACUCAUAUAAUCUUAUUAACAUUUGUAUAUAUUGCUGUAAAAAAAAUUAAACCAUUAAUUACAAAACUUUCAAUGUGAGAUUUAUUUCAAUACAAAAUUUUAAAUUGAAAUAUUAAGGUCUCAAUACUUUUAAAAUGUAAAUUUCAAAAUUAACGUAUUUAUGUAUUUUUAUAUGGUAUAUAGUUUAAUUUAAACGAUAUUAAGAUAUAUAUAUAUAUAUAUAUUUAAUAUGAAUAUCUAUUAAAUGAGACUUUAUAUUCAUACAAUUUUAUGAUCAUUUUGUAUCUUGUUAUAACAAAAAAAAGUAGUUAAACCAUUGAUUACAAAAUUUCAAUAUGGGCUUUUAACAUUUUUUAGUAAUUUAUAGUUUUUUAAAAUUCAUAAUAUAACAUAUAAGAAAGAGUCUAUAUUUUAAGUAUAUGGUUAAUGUGAUUGUAUAAUUUCUUUUAAUAAUAUAAAAUUAAAUAAAAUAGAUGGAGGUUACAAAAAUUGUUAUCAAAUCUUUAUUAUUCAUAAUCAUUAGUUUUCGUAUAUAUGUUAAUCAUAUUAGGUAAUUUCGUAACUUUUAUUUAGAGAAAUAAUGAAAAUAUUCUUUUGAACAUACAUUACUAAUCAAUUUGAUAGUUAGUUUAAUAAUAAGAUAUAAUAUAUGUUUCGAUAGACCAUCUAUUUUUUUAAGGAUCCUAAGCAUCAUUGUUGUAUUAAUACGUGGAUACAAAAAAAUGUUGCAAUGCUUUUCAAAUAUAUAAAUGAUUAUGUGGUUGAAAGAAAUUAGAAAAAUGCAAUGCAGUUAAGUAAUGAGGAACGAUUGAUUUUUGUUAUUAAAAGACGGAAGUCACGAACCACAUUAAUUAAAGUCAUCGAUUACUGACUGAUGACAACAUAUUUGACAAACAAUAAUAGAAGUUACAUAUAUUAACGCAUAAAGUUACAAAAUACAUAUACAUAUUUGACAAACAAUAAUAGAAGCGACGAAAUACAAACAAACACCUAAAACAAUUAAUUUUCAAAUACAGUCCAGGUUCUCCGAAAGUCGUUUGCUUUGAAAUGCUCUUUUUUAACUUAGUCAUAAACAUCUUCAUCUUUAUAACAUUAAUUAUUUCUUUUAUGAACUGGUUUGCCUUUUUUUCUUCAUGAUAUUGGGUUCAAUAGUUCCAACUUUUGCCUUUUGAAUUGUGUAAAUCUAUUUCACUAUUUGUUGACCAUUUGCAAUUCUUGCUUUUCUUUCAUCAUAUCAUUUUUUGUUGUAUACAUUUCCCUUGAAUGAUGACUAACUUAUACAAAAUUGGAAUCACUUGCAUCAUUUUCGUGGAUUCUUUUAAACCCACUUCUGCCUGACUACAAGAACAUAUUUAAUCACAGAUGAUGACGAGCCCCAUUCCAACAUGUUGAAAUGUAUAGUCUUGGCACUUGAACAUAGCUCAUGCGUUUUUUUUGUCAAUAUAUCAUUAUUCUCUGAUCAUCCAUUUUGUUACAUAGACUUUGCUAUUGUCAGUGCCAACCAUUAUUCCGAUAGUUUUUUCAUGUGGUGUAGUAAUUUUUCUAAACGAAGCAAUUACUGUUCUCUAACAAUUUUGAAAACCAACCAAUGCUAACGUCCAUAUAUAUUUUCCGCAGCCUGCACAACAGGAUUAUCAGAACGUAAAUCUCCUGAAUUUCUUUAAGUUCUAGUACCUUAUAAAAUUCUACUAACAAUUUGAUAUCUUUUUAGAUGGUGUAAAUGUAAUAACAUAAGUUGGCUAGAAACUAACCUCCCAAAAAUAGAGGUAUCAUGCAAAUGCUAUAAACACGAGUGGAACAAGUCUUAUGCCUAACAAUUGAACGCUAAUUUCCCAAAAUUAAAGUAACCUAGCUAAUACUUCCUUAAAAAUGGGUCAAACAUUCUAAAAAAUGAGAAGUUGGGAGAAAGUAUGGGCCUUCAACAUAUCUCUCCAUUUAACGCACUAUAUAAAGCAGCAGGUGCGUAGUAAAAAUCUCAGAAAACAAAAAUUAAAAGACAAUAAAAAAUAAAAAUAAAUAAAUAAAUAUGGGUUCAUAUUUGGGAAUCUAUACAAUUUUGGUUCUAUGUUUGCUAAAAUAAAAAUGGGUUCAUAUAUGGGAAUAUGUACAAUUUUUGUUCUAUGUUUGCUGGGAUAUUCAGCCAAUGCUGAGGUGUUCACCGCUGGUGGUCCUCCAAAUUCUGAUAUUACCGCGGUUAGUAUCUUCACUUGUUUUUUAUUACUUGAAUUCCAAUCAAUGUGUAAACCAUUUCUUAUAUUAACAUACUCGUGGGAGCUAUUGUUGCAGGCAGUUCUUAAAGCAUUCACAUCGGCAUGCCAAGCUCCGGCACCAAGCCAGGUGCUGAUCCCAAAAGGUGACUUCAAGCUUGGUGAGACCGUGAUGACUGGUCCAUGCAAAUCUCCAAUCGAGUUCACCUUGCAAGGCAACGUGAAAGCUGACGGUGGCUCUACCCAGGGAAAGGAUAGAUGGGUUGUGUUCGAAAAAAUUAAUGGUUUUAAGUUGAACGGAGGUGGAACAUUUGACGGUGAAGGCAAUGCAGCUUGGAAAGCCAACAACUGCCACAAGACUUUUGAGUGCAAGAAACUUCCCAUCGUAGGUGUUUCCGUCUUUAAUAUAUUAACACCAAUGGCUUUUUUUAAAGAUGAUAUAAUUCAGUGAUGCAUGCUAUCUUUCAGAGUGUAAGGUUUGAUUUUGUGGAUAACGCUGAGAUAAAAGACAUAACCUCAUUAGAUGCCAAAAACUUCCACUUCAACGUUAUCAGCGGCAAGAACAUGACCUUUGAUAACAUCAAGAUCAUCGCUCCAGCUGAAAGCCCCAACACUGACGGUAUCCAUUUGGGAAGAUGUGAGGGAGUCAAGAUCCUCAACACUAAGAUCGCCACAGGAGAUGACUGCAUCUCCGUGGGAGAUGGGAUGAAGAAUCUCCUCAUUGAGAAAGUUGUGUGCGGUCCAGGACACGGAAUCAGUGUUGGAAGCCUUGGAAGGUACGGAUGGGAGCAAGAUGUCACUGACAUUAACGUUAAGAACUGUACCCUUGAGGGAACCGACAACGGUCUGAGGAUCAAGACAUGGCCAUCUGCCGCUUGCACCACCACCGCUGCCGGUAUUCAUUUUGAGGAUAUCAUCCUUAACAAAGUUAGCAACCCAAUCCUCAUCGACCAGGAGUACUGCCCUUGGAACCAAUGCAACAAGAACGUAAGUAUCUUUUAUUAGAUUCUAUGUCUUGCCACUAUCACCGUAUUCUAUGAAAUUGGAUGGCUCAGCAAACAUAUUAUUCUGAUGGUUUUCUAGAUAUUUAGCAUUCACCAUUUUGGUUGAGGUUACAUAUAUAUGAUUAUGAUCCCAAAGUUUUUUUUUCUAUUUGCAGAAACCAUCAACAAUUAAGCUGGUGGACAUUACCUUCAGGAAUAUUAGAGGAACAUCAGGGAACAAGGACGCAGUAAAACUAUUGUGCAGCAAGGGACAUCCAUGUGAGAACGUUGAGAUUGGAGACAUUAACAUUGAGUACACAGGACCUGACGGUCCACCCACUUUCGAGUGCACAAACGUCACACCUAAGCUUGUGGGAACCCAGAACCCAAAGGCUUGCGUUGGACCUGUGGUCAAGGCUCCUGGCAAAGAGUAAAAUGUUGAAGCUCAUAUCAACACACUAGGGCUUCCACAUCCAAUUUUGUUUAUUCUUUUUCUAAUCCUUUUUCAAGUCACGUAAGGGAGACUUUUACAAAGCUGUAACAAAAAAAUGUUUCUAUCCGAUGCCAACACAUAUAUAGAUGUGUGAGUGCAUAAUGAUGUAAUUAAUAAAACUAAAUUAUAUAUUCUGCGUAUGAUUGUUUCUUUUUAAAAUAUUAAUAUGCGCGGUAAGUUGUAUACACUUCAAUCUUAAUUUUGUUUUCUUUUCCGAAUCUUAAAAUUAUUUAACAAGAUCUGAUUUCAACCUUAAGAUUAAUUUAACUAAUACAGUAUUAGUUUUUUUUUUUUUAGAACUCAUUUUAAACUAGAACUCAAAUCAUUUCAAUAAUAGUUCACUAACAUGUAGUAUUCUUUCCAAGUUAUACUGAACUAGAACUCAAAGAUACACUUGUUCAUACAUAACCGAUGCAAGCAUUUGGACAACGAAACAUGACAUCGUCAUAAGUAAUCUGAUUGGAAAUGUAAUUUUCAAUCAAACUUUCGCUCUUUGCUUAUGAUCUCUUUGGAAAAAAUUUCACUUGAUAAUAUGAGGUGCAUACUCUUCCUCUCUACUUUGGUUCAAUGCUCCUUAAACAUGUUGGAUACUUUUUUAGGCUUCAAUAUAAAAAAGAAGUUAGGAAAAAUUUAUUGAUAUUGUUAGUAAUAUUACUUCUAUGAUAUUGGUACUUCAAAAGAAGCAUGAGUUAUUAUAGAAACUAGGUUAAGAUCUCUGUUUUGCGCAUGAUGAAUUUUAUGUAUACAAAUGAUAUUUUUCUAUUUUUAUUAUUUAUUUUGUGUUUAUUUAUUUCAUAUUUAUAUAAUUAAAUUAGAGUAAACACAUAAAUCAAAACUAUACCUCCUUUUAUUUCUAAUUUUUUUCAUAAAUAAAUCAAUCGUUUUAUUUAUUUUAUAUGAAAUAUAAUUAAUUUGAAUGAUAAUGACAUAGAUAUCUAGUAAAAUUUAAUAUAACUUAUUAAUUGAGAUUUCCUACUCAUAUAAUCUUAUUAACAUUUGUAUAUAUUGCUGUAAAAAAAAUUAAACCAUUAAUUACAAAACUUUCAAUGUGAGAUUUAUUUCAAUACAAAAUUUUAAAUUGAAAUAUUAAGGUCUCAAUACUUUUAAAAUGUAAAUUUCAAAAUUAACGUAUUUAUGUAUUUUUAUAUGGUAUAUAGUUUAAUUUAAACGAUAUUAAGAUAUAUAUAUAUAUAUAUAUUUAAUAUGAAUAUCUAUUAAAUGAGACUUUAUAUUCAUACAAUUUUAUGAUCAUUUUGUAUCUUGUUAUAACAAAAAAAAGUAGUUAAACCAUUGAUUACAAAAUUUCAAUAUGGGCUUUUAACAUUUUUUAGUAAUUUAUAGUUUUUUAAAAUUCAUAAUAUAACAUAUAAGAAAGAGUCUAUAUUUUAAGUAUAUGGUUAAUGUGAUUGUAUAAUUUCUUUUAAUAAUAUAAAAUUAAAUAAAAUAGAUGGAGGUUACAAAAAUUGUUAUCAAAUCUUUAUUAUUCAUAAUCAUUAGUUUUCGUAUAUAUGUUAAUCAUAUUAGGUAAUUUCGUAACUUUUAUUUAGAGAAAUAAUGAAAAUAUUCUUUUGAACAUACAUUACUAAUCAAUUUGAUAGUUAGUUUAAUAAUAAGAUAUAAUAUAUGUUUCGAUAGACCAUCUAUUUUUUUAAGGAUCCUAAGCAUCAUUGUUGUAUUAAUACGUGGAUACAAAAAAAUGUUGCAAUGCUUUUCAAAUAUAUAAAUGAUUAUGUGGUUGAAAGAAAUUAGAAAAAUGCAAUGCAGUUAAGUAAUGAGGAACGAUUGAUUUUUGUUAUUAAAAGACGGAAGUCACGAACCACAUUAAUUAAAGUCAUCGAUUACUGACUGAUGACAACAUAUUUGACAAACAAUAAUAGAAGUUACAUAUAUUAACGCAUAAAGUUACAAAAUACAUAUACAUAUUUGACAAACAAUAAUAGAAGCGACGAAAUACAAACAAACACCUAAAACAAUUAAUUUUCAAAUACAGUCCAGGUUCUCCGAAAGUCGUUUGCUUUGAAAUGCUCUUUUUUAACUUAGUCAUAAACAUCUUCAUCUUUAUAACAUUAAUUAUUUCUUUUAUGAACUGGUUUGCCUUUUUUUCUUCAUGAUAUUGGGUUCAAUAGUUCCAACUUUUGCCUUUUGAAUUGUGUAAAUCUAUUUCACUAUUUGUUGACCAUUUGCAAUUCUUGCUUUUCUUUCAUCAUAUCAUUUUUUGUUGUAUACAUUUCCCUUGAAUGAUGACUAACUUAUACAAAAUUGGAAUCACUUGCAUCAUUUUCGUGGAUUCUUUUAAACCCACUUCUGCCUGACUACAAGAACAUAUUUAAUCACAGAUGAUGACGAGCCCCAUUCCAACAUGUUGAAAUGUAUAGUCUUGGCACUUGAACAUAGCUCAUGCGUUUUUUUUGUCAAUAUAUCAUUAUUCUCUGAUCAUCCAUUUUGUUACAUAGACUUUGCUAUUGUCAGUGCCAACCAUUAUUCCGAUAGUUUUUUCAUGUGGUGUAGUAAUUUUUCUAAACGAAGCAAUUACUGUUCUCUAACAAUUUUGAAAACCAACCAAUGCUAACGUCCAUAUAUAUUUUCCGCAGCCUGCACAACAGGAUUAUCAGAACGUAAAUCUCCUGAAUUUCUUUAAGUUCUAGUACCUUAUAAAAUUCUACUAACAAUUUGAUAUCUUUUUAGAUGGUGUAAAUGUAAUAACAUAAGUUGGCUAGAAACUAACCUCCCAAAAAUAGAGGUAUCAUGCAAAUGCUAUAAACACGAGUGGAACAAGUCUUAUGCCUAACAAUUGAACGCUAAUUUCCCAAAAUUAAAGUAACCUAGCUAAUACUUCCUUAAAAAUGGGUCAAACAUUCUAAAAAAUGAGAAGUUGGGAGAAAGUAUGGGCCUUCAACAUAUCUCUCCAUUUAACGCACUAUAUAAAGCAGCAGGUGCGUAGUAAAAAUCUCAGAAAACAAAAAUUAAAAGACAAUAAAAAAUAAAAAUAAAUAAAUAAAUAUGGGUUCAUAUUUGGGAAUCUAUACAAUUUUGGUUCUAUGUUUGCUAGGAUAUUCAGCCAAUGCUGAGGUGUUCACCGCUGGUGGUCCUCCAAAUUCUGAUAUUACCGCGGUUAGUAUCUUCACUUGUUUUUUAUUACUUGAAUUCCAAUCAAUGUGUAAACCAUUUCUUAUAUUAACAUACUCGUGGGAGCUAUUGUUGCAGGCAGUUCUUAAAGCAUUCACAUCGGCAUGUCAAGCUCCGGCACCAAGCCAGGUGCUGAUCCCAAAAGGUGACUUCAAGCUUGGUGAGACCGUGAUGACUGGUCCAUGCAAAUCUCCAAUCGAGUUCACCUUGCAAGGCAACGUGAAAGCUGACGGUGGCUCUACCCAGGGAAAGGAUAGAUGGGUUGUGUUCGAAAAAAUUAAUGGUUUUAAGUUGAACGGAGGUGGAACAUUUGACGGUGAAGGCAAUGCAGCUUGGAAAGCCAAUAACUGCCACAAGACUUUUGAGUGCAAGAAACUUCCCAUCGUAUGUGUUUAUGUCUUUAAUAUAUUAACACCAAUGGCUUUUUUAAAGAUGAUAUAAUUCAGUGAUGCAUGCUAUCUUUCAGAGCAACUGCCACAAGACUUUUGAGUGCAAGAAACUUCCCAUCGUAGGUGUUUCCGUCUUUAAUAUAUUAACACCAAUGGCUUUUUUUAAAGAUGAUAUAAUUCAGUGAUGCAUGCUAUCUUUCAGAGUGUAAGGUUUGAUUUUGUGGAUAACGCUGAGAUAAAAGACAUAACCUCAUUAGAUGCCAAAAACUUCCACUUCAACGUUAUCAGCGGCAAGAACAUGACCUUUGAUAACAUCAAGAUCAUCGCUCCAGCUGAAAGCCCCAACACUGACGGUAUCCAUUUGGGAAGAUGUGAGGGAGUCAAGAUCCUCAACACUAAGAUCGCCACAGGAGAUGACUGCAUCUCCGUGGGAGAUGGGAUGAAGAAUCUCCUCAUUGAGAAAGUUGUGUGCGGUCCAGGACACGGAAUCAGUGUUGGAAGCCUUGGAAGGUACGGAUGGGAGCAAGAUGUCACUGACAUUAACGUUAAGAACUGUACCCUUGAGGGAACCGACAACGGUCUGAGGAUCAAGACAUGGCCAUCUGCCGCUUGCACCACCACCGCUGCCGGUAUUCAUUUUGAGGAUAUCAUCCUUAACAAAGUUAGCAACCCAAUCCUCAUCGACCAGGAGUACUGCCCUUGGAACCAAUGCAACAAGAACGUAAGUAUCUUUUAUUAGAUUCUAUGUCUUGCCACUAUCACCGUAUUCUAUGAAAUUGGAUGGCUCAGCAAACAUAUUAUUCUGAUGGUUUUCUAGAUAUUUAGCAUUCACCAUUUUGGUUGAGGUUACAUAUAUAUGAUUAUGAUCCCAAAGUUUUUUUUCUAUUUGCAGAAACCAUCAACAAUUAAGCUGGUGGACAUUACCUUCAGGAAUAUUAGAGGAACAUCAGGGAACAAGGACGCAGUGAAACUAUUGUGCAGCAAGGGACAUCCAUGUGAGAACGUUGAGAUUGGAGACAUUAACAUUGAGUACACAGGACCUGACGGUCCACCCACUUUCGAGUGCACAAACGUCACACCUAAGCUUGUGGGAACCCAGAACCCAAAGGCUUGCGUUGGACCUGUGGUCAAGGCUCCUGGCAAAGAGUAAAAUGUUGAAGCUCAUAUCAACACAUUAGGGCUUCCACAUCCAAUUUUGUUUAUUCUUUUUCUAAUUCUUUUUCAAGUCACGUAAGGAGACUUUUACAAAGCUGUAACAAAAAAAUGUUUCUAUCGAUGCCAACACAUAAUGUGUGAGUGCAUUAUGAUUUAAUAAAACUAAAAAGAUUUAUCUAUCUUUUCUACACAUAUAUGAUUUUCUUUUUUUAUAACAUGCUUAAUUUUCUUUUAAAAAUCUUAUUAAUUGACAAUAAAUGUUCUGAUCCAUGUCUAUUUUUAUUUGAUGGUUGCCAAGAACCAAUCACUGUAAAUAGUUAUUCUUAUCGCGAAUCGAAUUAUGGUGAUGGAAGUUACAGCCACAAUUCAUUUACCAGUAGAGUUGAUUCGUUCGCUUAUUGGGGAAUAUUUUUGGGACGUCUUAUCGAGAUAAUAGAGAAUGAUGCGUUCUUGUACAUCUUUUUCUUGAUUCAUGUAGUUUAAGGAGUUCAGGCAUUUUGGUUUAAGCGAGUGAGAUAUCGUUCUAGUGAUAUUUAGAGUAUAUUGUUUUGCUGGUGGAUUACUUCUUUGAUUAUAAUUGACACCAGGGAUACAUGGUUUGUUCUUUUUUACUUUGAGUUCAGGUGUAUGAUGUGACCCCGUUUGUGGAGGAUCAUCUUGGAGGCAAAGGGGUCUUGUUAUUCUCAAAAUGGUUUGGAUAAAAUCAAAUCUUACUGAUAUAACAUUGGUUGCACUCUAGUCUAGUGUGGAUACGAAAACGGCAAGAUGAUCCUCCACAGUGAAACCAAAUCUUACUGAUAUUUUAAAUACCUACUAACAUGAGUGUGUGUAUGGCCUAAAUAAAUAUGGACAAUGGUGUGUGUACACAAUAUGAUAUGAGUGUCCAUCUGGAUACUCAGUUCGCGUACAUCUUUUGUUGUACAUCUCCGAUUCCUAAAAUUUGAUGAACAUUUCUUCCUUUCAACAGCUCUUAUACAGUAGACAUUUUCUCUCAAACAAUGCAAUAUAUUAUUGUUAUUAUUACUCUCAGUAUCUUGCACCAUAGGUUCACAAAUGCAAGAUGUAGUCAAAUUCAUGAAAAUGUACAUGUACACCGUUUUCUGUAAUCAUGCAAAACUACUUAGAUUUCAAUGCAUUAGUGAGUUCUUUUUCUGUAAACCUCCUCUUGGGAAUCUGAAUUAUUCAUCUCUGAAUGUUUCAUGUAGUAAGAAAAACCAUAUACCAAUAUAUAAGAAACAAUUACAUUAUAGUCCAUUUUCCUAAUGAGAGUUAGAUAGUUUCGUCCAAGCUAAGACAUUCUAUUUCUAAGCACGAAUAUGACAUCAUUAAAACAUCUGCAAAACAUUGACUAGCAUAGCCUUACUCUUAGAAGACACUUCAAUAUAAACGAACAACAAGACAUGAUUAAAGAGGCCAGACAUACAAAAAUUCAGACAACGAAAACAGAUUUACUAACAUACCAGAAUCUCAAGUUUGGAAUAUGACAAAAAUGGACACUUUACAUCUUUUUAACACUAAUUUUCAGGAAAGAAUAAAACAGACAAUAAAAUUACUAAUCUUACUGUAUUUUGGGAAAAAACAGAAAAUAGAGCCAAUGUGGUGGUAGAAAGUCGUCAUGGUGGUGCUUCUGGAGCUUCACCGGAGUGUUGUCGACUGCGCGGGAGAGAUGUGAUUAUGUUUUUCAUCAACCGGUGUUUGCCGACCGGAUCUUGAUGAAAACCGUGUAAAUAAAUAUUCUCCAGAGUUUAUAAAAUGUCUUUACAAUGUAAAUAAAUAAAUAAACAAGCUGUAAAUCACUAUAUUCUCAAAGUCAAACCGAGUCUGGUUAUUUCUGUUCUGAUAUGUCCGGUCCGGAUAUUUUUGCCCCGGCUUAAACAUAACCCUAACCCUAAAAAAAAAAAAGCACAAUAAAAAAAGAAGCCUUUCACAUUUUUCAUUUUUUCUUUCUCUUAAUCUUCCUUCAGAAUCCAGCCGCCUCUGUCAAACUCUCAAACUACCUCAGGGUUCGUACCACACUCUUCCUUCAUGUUUCCAUCUUUAACCUAGAACGGUCUGGAUUUAAUUGCAACUAGUCAUAAACUUUAUUCUAAAACUCUAAUUUCGAAGGCACUAGAUAUCUAAAAAAUUGUUAUCCAUUUUUGGUAGUUUGAUUUACGAGGUUUCUACUUCUUAUAUUGAUUUCAUCAUACACUGGUGUUAUAGGUUUCUUCGUCCUCGUGUUGUUGCGUUGUUGAUUUUGUUUGUUAAAUUCCGUUAUUACAGAUGUCAGCAUUAAUGGAUCAAGAUUCAGGGAUGUUCAAGGUUCAGCAAACCAUUGUAAGUGUCUUGUGUUGCAAGUGUGGUGUUCCUAUGCCACCAAACGCAGCCAACAUGUGUGUCAACUGUCUCCGUUCCGAAGUCGACAUCACCGAAGGCUUACAGAAGAGUGUCCAAAUCUUCUAUUGCCCUGAGUGUGGCUGUUACUUGCAGCCACCCAAGACGUGGAUCAAAGCUCAGUGGGAAUCCAAAGAGCUCUUAUCUUUCUGCAUCAAGAGGCUCAAGAAUCUCAACAAAGUCAGGCUCACGAACGCUGAGUUCGUCUGGACUGAGCCUCACUCCAAGAGAAUCAAACUCAAGCUCACUGUUCAAGCCGAGGUUCUUAACGGUGCUGGUCUUGAGCAGUCAUAUCUCGUUGAGUAUACCGUUAGAGACCAUCUCUGCGAGUCUUGCUCGAGGUUUCAGGCCAACCCUGAUCAGUGGGUUGCUUCGGUUCAGCUUAGGCAGCAUGUUUCUCACAGGAGGUCUUUCUUUUAUCUCGAACAGUUGAUUCUCAGGAACGAUGCUGCUUCUCGCGCCGUAAGAAUCAAGCAGGUUCAUCAAGGGGUUGAUUUCUUCUUUGGGAAUAAAAGUCAUGCUGAUAACUUUGUUGAGUUUUUGAGUAAAGUUGUUCCCAUUGAGUCUCGUCAGGACAAGCAGCUAGUGUCUCACGAUGUCAAGAGCAGCUUGUACAACUACAAGUACACUUACUCCGUUAAGAUCUGUCCUAUCUGCCGUGAGGAUCUUAUCUUCCUGCCUUCCAAAGUUGCUAGCGGGUUAGGAAGCCUUGGUCCGCUUGUGGUGUGCACAAAAGUUUCUGAAAGAAUCACGCUGCUUGAUCCUAGAACCUUGAGGUGUGCGUUCUUGGACGCCAGACAGUACUGGAGAUCCGGAUUUCGAUCCGCUCUCACCAGCAGGCAGCUUGUGAAGUACUCAGUGGUUUAUGUGGAACCACCUGUUGGUGAAGCGACUGUCGGAGGGCAAAAGUAUGCUCUAUCCUAUGUCCACAUCGCACGUGAGUCAGACAUUGGUAAGAUGUUAACUGUCCAAAGACUCCAAACUCAUCUAGGACAUAUCCUGAAAACAGGAGAUCAAGCUUUAGGGUAUGAUAUCUACGGUGCAAAUGUUAGCGACGAUGAAAUGGACGAGUAUCGUUUGCAUGGGGGGAUUCCUGAAGUGAUUCUUAUCAAGAAAUGCUAUGACAAGGAGAGAGAGAGGAAGAAGGGGAAGCCACGUGCGUUUACGACCAAGAAGCUUCCAAUGGAGAUGGAUGAGUCAAGAGGAGGACGCGGAGUUGAUCCAAAGAAGAUGGAGAAUGAAUAUGAAGAGUUUUUGAGGGAUCUUGAAGAGAAUCCUGAGCUGAGGUUUAACAUAUCAUUGUACAAGAACAAGGAUUAUCAAGAGUCUGAUGAGACUGCUUCAAUGACGGAUGGAGAAGGUGCACCGACUGUGCCGAUUGAAGAGUUGCUUGCUGAGCUUGAGCUUAGUGAAGAGGAAGGCGAUGAUGAAGAGUACAUGGAUGAGUAAUUUUCCUUUUAAAAGACACUCAAUGAUUGGGUUAAUUGUAUGCACAGGAGUUUUUGUUUCUAGCUUCAUAUUUUUCUGAGACUUAUUAUGGUUAUACUUUGUUUGAAAUUUUGAUUUUUGAACGUGUAAUAGUUGCAACUACGGUGGAUCAUACAGUGAAGCCAAUCUGUGUCGCCAUUAUCAAUGGAGUGUAAAAGAAACAAAAUGGCUCACAUUCAAAUCCAAUCUCUCUUUAAUCCUUUCAUUAAAAAUGUGUUUUGAGUUUAAGAUCUCUAUUUUGCGUCUUCAACGUUAUGUAAUGUAGGAUAUGUACAUUAAUCAGUUAACAUAUACAACUAUAUAUAUAUGUAACUUGAGAAAAAGAGGCAGUCACAAAAUUAUCUAUGUUGUCCGCGGUUAUUCCUGAUUGAUAGAUGUCCCCAUGAGAGACGGUUUAUUAUCAUGGUGGAUUCCACACGGACUAUCUCUGCUUGCAAUGCAAGCUUCGCCUGGAAUCAAGAGACCACCUCGGCACCUCUUCAUUACAUAGUGUAUAAAACGUUCAUAAUCAGAAGAAAAUGCAAGUUUUUUAAAAAUUAACUCAAAUUUACUUAUAUUUUCAGUUCAGUUGCUAACAAAUUUUGUUACAUUUUCAGCUAUAGUUGUCUUGGUAAAACAACCAAAAUUUAUAAUAUUAUAAGAAAGUAACAAUUUAUUGGUUAAGGUACUUUUUAGUUUUAACCUUCAAGAUAUAAAAUUAGACAGCAGAUUCCAAAGACAAGGGACACAACCUAAAAAAUGAGAGGUGGUGAGAAAAGUUAAACUGAACUUCUCUUCCCCCAACCCACUAUAUAAAUGUAACUAUGAGUUAAAUCAAAUUCAAGAAACAAAACAACAUAAUUAAUAGUAAAUAGUAAUACGAGUAGUAAAUACAUAUUUUUAACAAUGGGUGCAUAUUUUGGAGUUUCUACAAUAUUUAUUUUCUGUUUGCUGGGGUUUUCAGCCAAUGCUGAGGUUUUCAGCAUUGAUUCCUCUUCAGGUUCUGAUAUUACUCAGGUUAGUCAUGUAUUGCUUUUCCUCUAUCUUGCGUUACAAGCAAUCUAGAAAACCACAUUUUUGGCUUAGUUGUUAAAGUUUCAUUGUGCUGAUAUAUGCAGGCACUUCUGAAAGCAUUCACAUCGGCAUGCCAAUCUCCGUCACCGAGCAAAGUAGUGAUCCCAGAAGGAGAGUUCAAGCUUGGUGAGAUCGAGAUGAGGGGACCAUGCAAAGCUCCAGUCGAGAUCACCCUUCAAGGCACUGUCAAAGCUGACGGUAACGCGAUCCAGGGGAAGGAAAAAUGGGUUGUCUUCGGCAACAUUAAUGGGUUUAAGUUGAACGGAGGUGGAGCUUUUGACGGUGAAGGAAACGCAGCUUGGAGAGUCAAUAACUGUCACAAGACAUUCAACUGCAAGAAACUUCCCAUCGUAUGUGCUUCUGUCCUCACUUGUUUUUAAGAUUUUGAAAUUAUUACCUAGGUGUUAGAUGGUGAGUAGGCUCUUAAGUCCUAUAUGGAUUGUUUGCCCACAAAAAUUAAAGAAUUGAAAAAAAUAAAAGUAUUGAUGGUUUUGAGACCUCAAUAUAACAGAAUUUUAACUAGCUUUUGUGAAGAAAACAAAACAACUUAUUGAUGUAAUUUUAUCUUUGUUUUUUAUAGAGUAUAAGGUUUGAUUUCGUGGAGAACGCUGAGAUCAAAGACAUAUCAUCGAUAGAUGCCAAGAACUUCCACAUCAACGUGCUCGGAGCCAAGAACAUGACCAUGAGUAACAUCAAGAUCACCGCUCCAGAAGACAGCCCCAACACUGACGGUAUCCAUUUGGGAAGAAGUGACGGAGUCAAGAUCCUUAACUCAUUCAUCUCCACCGGAGACGACUGCAUCUCCGUUGGAGAUGGGACGAAUAACCUUCACGUGGAGAAAGUCACGUGCGGUCCAG